AGGACGCGCGCCUCCCAGGUGCCAGAGUUCGUAUAUGACUCCAGUCCUGGCGCUGGAUGCUGCUGCUGUUCCAGCUUCCUAGGUGUGGAAACUGAAGGACCAAGAGAUUAAACAGGAAUCUCUGAGGACAAAUGGGAAUUCUCACUGAUUUCUAGGACUACCCUGGGGCAGGCACCCUGCACAGCAAUACACACUGAACAAUGUCGAGUUUCUGCUGAAUAGACUUCCUACGUUGCUCUGGAAUUCGAAGUUGGCCUAACUGAGGUCUCCAGUUACAGAAAACACUGGCUCUGUAUCCUGGGCUUUGAGAAAACUUAUCAGGCUGUCACACUUACCAUCCCUUCAGUCUGCUUGUCAGGUUCCUUAAGGACGCAUAUCUCAAAUGUAUGGCAUCUACCUCUACCUGGGUCACAACCAAGUGGGUUUCUACUAGAUCGGUGUUCCUUGACAGCCAACAAGGGAGCUGACACUGCCCUCCUAAGUUCUGAUCUUGCUCCUGUUCAACUGGAACUUGAUGGAUCCCAUGUGGUUUCCCCCAUCCUGACGCUGUGGCUCAGACACUCUCCCUAAGCUGGUCCUUCCCUCCAAAUCCUGCCUUAAACACACUCAGAAGGUAGAAAACACUUCAGCAGCAAAGUCCUCUUCCCAAGCCAACAGUUGUGUUCUUCCAAUCACAUGAUCUUACCUUUUCAAUAAAAGGCAAAACAAACCAAUUUCCAACAUAGCAUUACAGCCUUUAAAACCAUUCACUUCUCAUAGUGAUUCACAGAGAACAAGAGAUUAAAGUGCUGGAUUUUAAAUGUCUAAAGUUGCCUUCAGGGCUACAAAAAGCCCUGCCGUGUGUGUUUUUCCUUCAUGGUGUUGAGGGGAAGGAAAGAUAGGGAAGGGCAGUGGGGAGAAACCCUAAAAUUUUCAAUCAGAAACUGGAAAUUGUAAAAGUGGGAGGUGGAGUCCGCCGAGCACCCUGUCGCCC
rnacentral:lncRNA from 1 species